AUUGAACGCUGGCGGCAGGCCUUACACAUGCAAGUCGAACGAGUGGCGGACGGGUGAGUAAUAUCUGGGAAACUGCCUGAUGGCGGGGGAUAACUACUGGAAACGGUAGCUAAUACCGCAUACCAUCAGAUGUGCCCAUAUGGGAUUAGCUUGUUGGUGGGGUAACGGCUCACCAAGGCGACGAUCCCUAGCUGGUGUGAGAGGAUGACCAGACACACUGGAACUGAGACACGGGCCAGACUCCUACGGGAGGCAGCAGUGGGGAAUAUUGGACAAGGGGGGAAACCCUGAUGCAGCCAUCCCGCGUGUAUGAAGAAGGCCUUCGGGUUGUAAAGUACUUUCGGCGGAGAAGCGUUAUCCGCAGAAGAAGCACCGGCUAACUCCGUGCCAGCAGCCGCGGUAAUAC
rnacentral:rRNA from 1 species